UGUGAUCGUCACCUUGAACCUCAAUAUCUGUCUCUGGGUUUUUAUUAUUCGGAGAAAGAGAGAGAGAGAGAGACUCGUACCUCCCCAGUUUUUUAAGGUACAAACUGAGUAUAUCGCCACUUGUUGAUUGGCAACUCAACUUUCCUUUUCUCGAAUCACCUCUUUGACUCCUUUGUCCACUACGUUUCUCAACAGGAUGACAGGAUCUGAGGAACCUUCAUAUACUGGAUGUAUAUUUGAAUAUGGAUACACCUUCCGUAUUCAAAUCUCUUAGAAUCGGAAUUUGGGUUUGUUUUGUUUUAAUUUUUAAAUUUUCUUACUCUAUAGCCCUGGUUGUUGCAUGGUGGUGAGAUGUCCCACCAAGCCCAGCUAAAGAAGAGUUUCUUUGGUGGUUAGUGAAUCUGAUUUCUUUGCUACCAGGUGUUCCACUAAUUUCCAUAACCAAACGAGUCUUCAACUUUCCUUUUAGUUUGAUGCCUGUCCUGAAUUCUGCCAACAGCUCAGGCAAAAGACUACGAAAAGAUCUCCAGCCCAGAGCCCUUGUUUGCAGUCUUUCUUGUGUGGGAGGUAGUCCAUCAUCUUGAAACAGUUUACUCUAAAUAGAAACUUUUAAAAGUCAGUGGAAACUUCGUGUUUUUUUUUUCCCCAAGCUGCUUCAUUUGGGCCCAGGCCAAGAAGGCAGUUAGCAACCUCAGUUCAACCAUAACUGUUUCCCUUCCGUGUUCUUUAAACGGUGACUUCAUUACUGGUGAGAGCCAAGCCCACGUGACUUUCUGAAGGGAUCUGAGCAGCUCGUGAUCCACCACCCGUGAGGCAAAGUUCUUUGGGAUGUCCCUGCAAGCGUCCAGAGUCAGAGUCACGACCUAGAGUCUCCCCAUCGCUCCAUACUCAGCUUCUCAAGUGCAGUCUGCCGAGAUGUGCACGUUGGCAGCUUGCUGGUCACUCGUGGGAUUUGCAGUCUUGUGCGCUUCGGGGCACCGGAGCGAAGGCAACAACCUCUAGAGAACACGUGAUGACACAGUGAGGUGCGCAGCGGACCUAAACCAUUAAGGAGAUGCUACAGGCUACCAGAGUCAGAAUCAAAAGAAACUGUAGACUGACUGUGAGUGGAGUCAAGAAAGGGCAAGUGGUUAGCCAGCUAGGCGGAAGGUAGGGCUCUUGGCUUCCGACUAGCAUGCUGGCUGGAGAGAUGAGGUAGGAUUACAACAGCCAGGCUUGCAGGCUCACCUCCAGUCUCCGGGCUAGCUUCAAAGAUCAAAUGCCCAGCUGGACUGAUGCAGGACCUGGAUCUCCCCUCGCCUACGGAACAUGAAUUCAUUUUUCUGUUCAGGAAAGCCCCAGAGCAGAGCCCCCGGCACUUUCCCUCACUGCUGCCCGAGGAAACGGUGUUUUCUGUACACCAGUUUGCUGCUGCGCUCUGAGGGUAGAGCUCGGUAUGCAGCGCCAAGGCAGAAAUUGGGACUUAAGAGUGGUGCGUGGGAGUUGCGGGGGGUGGUGGGGUGGUGGUGGUGCAUCACCUGAGGGUCCUAAUGGGUUAGGGGAUUAGAAUGUGGAGUUGGGAGUGAACUCAGAGAAGAUACAGGCCAACUCGUUUUCUUUUGAGGCAGCGUCUAAAAUAACCUGCGCUGGCCUUUAACUAACUCUUUAUCCUCUUGCUGGUUCAAGUGCUGAGAUUAUAGGCGCGUGCCACCACGCCCUGCUCCAAUGUUCUUUCUAAGGAUGCAGGAAAGGAGUGCGUGUGUGCUACAGCACGGUGGUAAAGAAGAAAGAUAAGAAGAAUUCAGAAGUCUAGGAAAGAUGGGUAUUCUAACAACUCGUGCAGAUUGGGAAUAGUAAAUAGCCCAGUGUCUAACCAUGCUGAUCACCAGUCUCAAAUUGAAGCGAGACCAACCCUACAGGGGGCGGUGUUGAAUCAGUAUUAGCCAUUUGGAAUGGGGGCGGGGAGAAAAUUGGGAAAGAGAAUUUCUGUCUCCCAACUACAAGCCAGAAAUGAGACCCGUGUUGGCACAAAUUGGAUUCUGAAAAAGAGGACAUGAAAUUGACAGGGUAGGGACAUGGGCCAACCUCAGAGGAGGAGUUAGGGGUGAAUAUCCCAGUUUCCAGCCUGCUUUAGAAACAUUCUUAUAUCACAUCUGUACCCAGAAGCUCACAAGGAUAAUUGAAUACUGUUUCAUUAAUUUUGCUUAAUUAGGUGGGCAUUCAGGUCCUGUCUACAUUUUUGCUAUGACCCAAGUGAUUUUUGAGAUUGUCUGCAACUUCAAUUUUUGUUAGUUUUUCUAAGAGUUAUUAAAAUAGGUUUAUAAUUUCUAAGUGGAUAGAUGUCCAAAGCAGCCUCCAGGGGGACAGUGCUGGAGACAGUGCCCCACACAGAGACCUCUGGCUGUUAAACAGAAGCCUAAAGGUGCUUUUCUUGUUACCAGGAAGUAGAUCUCAUAAGCCAGGUUUCCACUGACUGGGAACCUUCCUCCAUUGACCCACAAAGGUCCAGGCACUUUGGACAAGGGCAUAUAGUUCCGGGUCAGGUGGAACAGUUCACAUCAGCUCAAAACCCCACCCUGUUGACUGUUGUAUAAAAUCUUGCUUUUCCGCCAUUUUGCUUUCUCUGCCCCCUCCCCCAUAGUCUUGGCAGUUUGAUCCCCAGUAAACUUUUCUUUCUACCCAUGUCUUCACUUCGCCCUCACUUACUCAUUAUGUGCAGUUUUACUUCUUUGUAGCCCGAGGUUGUAGCUCUAUCUGUGCUUUUUGGAAUCUGCGGUUUUUGACUGAUGACUAAUUUUGUAAAUAACGUUAGGCAUAGUUUUGCAUAGUUGAUUGGCUAUGAGAUUUUGUAUAUUAGAACAAACGUUUAUCGUCUAUGCUUUUAAAAUGCUUAUUUAUUUAUUUA